UGUUGGCGAUAUACAGUCAGCGGCCAAGCGAAAGUAUUAAGUGAUGCACCUGGGGAGUACGCCGGCGACGGUGAAACUCAAAGGAAUUGACGGGGGCCCGCACAAGCGGUGGAGCAUGUGGUUUAAUUCGAUGAUACGCGAGGAACCUUACCAGGGCUUAAAUGUAGUUUGACCGGUCUGGAAACAGACUUUCUCUUCGGAGCAGAUUACAAGGUGCUGCAUGGUUGUCGUCAGCUCGUGCCGUGAGGUGUUAGGUUAAGUCCUGCAACGAGCGCAACCCCUAUUCUUAGUUGCCAGCGGUUCGGCCGGGGACUCUAAGAAGACUGCCAGCGCAAGCUGAGAGGAAGGUGGGGAUGACGUCAAAUCAUCACGGCCCUUACGUCCUGGGCUACACACGUGCUACAAUGGUAGAGACAGAGGGCAGCCACCUGGUGACAGGGAGCGAAUCCUUAAACUCUAUCUCAGUUCGGAUCGAAGUCUGCAACUCGACUUCGUGAAGCUGGAAUCGCUAGUAAUCGCGCAUCAGCCAUGGCGCGGUGAAUACGUUCCCGGGCCUUGUACACACCGCCCGUCAAGCCAUGGAAGCUGGGGGUACCUGAAGUCGGUAACCGUAAGGUGCUGCCUAGGGUAAAACUAGUAACUAGGGCUAAGUCGUAACAAGGUAGCCGUACCGGAAGGUGUGGUUGGAUCACCUCCUUAGAGUUUGAUCAUGGCUCAGUGCGGUUGGAUCACCUCCUU
rnacentral:rRNA from 1 species